rnacentral:rRNA from 1 species
UAGAAGUUAGGGGUGAAAUCCCAGGGCUCAACCCUGGAACUGCCUCUAAAACUCCUAGUCUUGAGUUCGAGAGAGGUGAGUGGAAUUCCAAGUGUAGAGGUGAAAUUCGUAGAUAUUUGGAGGAACACCAGUGGCGAAGGCGGCUCACUGGCUCGAUACUGAC